AUGUACAUUCCUACAACAUUAAUGCACCAUAUCCCAUUAGAACUUUGCAGUUAAGUGGGAUUGGGAUAGAGUAGUACUAUUAUGGGUGACAUCCCAAGAAUUCCUAUUGUUUUACAUG
rnacentral:rRNA from 1 species